AUUUCCUUAUUAUUAAAGCCGGUCCAAACCGCCUCUUUCUAGCCCAUCCACGUCGUCCAAAAUCUUUGUGUCCAUUCGAUCGUGUAUCAUUGGCCCACCUUCAUCGCGUGCUCUCCCGUGCACUUCUCGUUCCUGUCUCCUCUGGAGACUUCUAGUUCUAGUGAUGCUUCCUCGCUCCGUCUCUCUUCCUCCUCACUCCCUCCGUCCGGCCUCAAUAGCACAUGAAAAGAAAUCCUUCGAGAUGACGCUGGGUUAUACAUCGAGCUCAGCCCCAACGCUUCUACUUCUCUCUAACUGCUUGUCGCCAGGAUCCCCAUCGCCCAUCCCCUCAAACACCUUUGCCCGGCCACCGCGUCGGCCACGGCCAAGUAGAAGGCGGUGACGACGUCGCCGCUUAGGGACUUCAAUGGCAACUCUAUCCCUCUCGAGCUCCUGCUCCCCUCCGCUCGCGUCCGCCUCCGCAUCACCCGACAUAGUUGUGGUCGCUUCGCUUGUCGCUGCUGCGGCAUCAGCCACGAUGCCUUCCUUCGAACCCGCUGCGCCACGCCGUCCAGCAUCGUCUCCAACGUUGUUCACACGCGCUCCCUUGGUGGCGCCCAUCAGAUCUGGUCCAGGAAACACAUGGGACACCACGCAGUACAACAGGUCAUCCCGGGAGACGGCGGCAAAAGUGAGAUCCGCGUCGCAUGAAGCGUUGGGGAAGGGAGAGCCAGGGAGAUGCCAUAUAGAGACCUAAUUUGAAGCUCCUUCCCGUGUCGUAUGUAUAGUGAGAUCUCCAUAAACAAUGGACAAGGGUGAAGGACUGAUGGUUGGAAUGGGUGGUGGUAACAGGAUGAUGACUACAUUCAUUGAUGUAUAGGUACCAACAACUCAUUCUUUUUUGAAUAUGUGGAAACUUGGAUCUUUGUUCGCACAAUUUAUUAGUGAUGCUUAUGUUUCACAAGAAAUAGGUUUCAGACCAAUAUAUUCAAGUAUCGUGUAUGAUACGUGUAAUGUCAAAUAAAAUUUACUAUUACUUUGACUUUUUUGUUACUUCAUAUGUCCUAGACCAUCCCUUUUUGGUGCUCACCCUAGGCAUCAAGUAUGUAUUGUGCGCCUUUUUAGUUAUAUGUUAAUUUUCUUUUUUUCUGACUGCAUCAAAAUCUGAUAUUGUUCUUUUACAAAACUAGGUUCUCAAAGAACAUGGAGUGGUUGUUUUGGUCAGUGAUAUCGAGAAGACUUCACCAGAUAUGCCUAUUCAUUCUUUCAAAAACAAUUUGUGUAAAUAAAAUAACCUAAUUUCAAACGUUAAAACAUGCAUAACUAGCUCCUAUCAAAAUUUACCUAACUCUAUUUUAGAUGGUCUUAUUUGCUUUAGAACCAACUAUUGUCUUCAACCUUGUCACGGACCAAGGUACGAAAGUUCGAUGACCUGUGCCGCGUGUUGCUCCUGAUCUGUACACCUCAUGAUUUUGGUCGAUGCAGUUAGGAAAUUUUCUUAGGUCAAUUCAAAUUAUAUUAUAUAGAACUAUGUUUGUGCAAUGCAUUGUAGUGAGAGUUAUGUUAAUCAAAUUAUUUACUUCGGAAGGCUUGCUGGAAGGUAAGUUGAUUUGUUCGGAGGUAGGACAGUAAGAUAUGUGUGCUGGCUUAGAGUAGCUUGUGCUUGUCUGGUGGUUCUAGAAAGAUUAGCUUGUCUGGAGGUAUAAUGACAUAAACUUCAGUAUUAUACAUGGCCUUCUUAACCUCUGUUCAUUUUCCGACCACCGUAAUUGUAAUAUUUGUUGUAAAGUGCAUACAAUU